rnacentral:rRNA from 1 species
GACGAACGCUGGCGGCGUGCCUAAUACAUGCAAGUCGAGCGAAGUUUUUCUGGUGCUUGCACCGGAAAAACUUAGCGGCGAACGGGUGAGUAACACGUAAAGAACCUGCCUCAUAGACUGGGACAACUAUUGGAAACGAUAGCUAAUACCGGAUAAUAGCAUUAACUGCAUGGUUGAUGUUUAAAAGUUGGUUUUGCUAACACUAUGGGAUGGCUUUGCGGUGCAUUAGCUAGUUGGUGGGGUAAAGGCCUACCAAGGCGACGAUGCAUAGCCGACCUGAGAGGGUGAUCGGCCACACUGGGACUGAGACACGGCCCAGACUCCUACGGGAGGCAGCAGUAGGGAAUCUUCCGCAAUGGGCGAAAGCCUGACGGAGCAACGCCGCGUGAGUGAAGAAGGAUUUCGGUUCGUAAAGCUCUGUUGUUAGGGAAGAAUGAUUGUGUAGUAACUAUACACAGUAGAGACGGUACCUAACCAGAAAGCCACGGCUAACUACGUG